GACGAACGCUGGCGGCGUGCCUAAUACAUGCAAGUCGAACGAGUGGCGGACGGGUGAGUAACGCGUAAAGAACUUGCCUCACAGCUAGGGACAACAUUUAGAAAUGAAUGCUAAUACCUGAUACUGUGAGAGAGCUUUGCGUCCCAUUAGCUAGUUGGAGAGGUAACAGCUCACCAAGGCGAUGAUGGGUAGCCGGCCUGGGAGGGAGAACGGCCACAAGGGGACUGAGACACGGCCCUUAGUCCUACGGGAGGCAGCAGUGGGUAAUAAUGGACAAUGGACCGAAGUCUGAUCCAGCAAUUCUGUGUGCACGAUGAAGUUUUUCGGAAUGUAAAGUGCUUUCAGUUGGGAAGCGGUACCAACAGAAGAAGUGACGGCUAAAUACGUGCCAGCAGCCGCGGUAAUUC
rnacentral:rRNA from 1 species